UGCGUUGUCGUCAGCUCGUGCCGUGAGGUGUCGGGUUAAGUCCCAUAACGAGCGCAACCCUUACCGUUAGUUACCAUCAGGUUAAGCUGGGGACUCUAGCGGGACUGCCACCGUAAGGUGAGAGGAAGUGGGGAUGACGUCAAAUCAGCACGGCCCUUAUGUCCAGGGCUACACACGUGUUACAAUGGCCAGUACAAAGGGCAGCUACCGGGUGACCGGAUGCUAAUCUCUAAAGCUGGUCUCAGUUCGGAUCGAAGUCUGCAACCCGACUUCGUGAAGCUGGAUUCGCUAGUAAUCGCGCAUCAGCCAUGGCGCGGUGAAUACGUUCCCGGGCCUU
rnacentral:rRNA from 1 species